AGUAAAUACCUCCUCUUUAAUACCCCACAGAAGUAAAUACCUCCUCUUUAAUACCCCACAGAAGUAAAUACCUCCUCUUUAAUGCCCCACAGAAGUAAAUACCUCCUCUUUAAUGCCCCACAGAAGUAAAUACCUCCUCUUUAAUAUCCCACAGAGGUAAAUACCUCCUCUUUAAUACCCCACAGAAGUAAAUACCUCCUCUUUAAUACCCCACAGAAGUAAAUACCUCCUCUUUAAUACCCCACAGAAGUAAAUACCUCCUCUUUAAUACCCCACAGAAGUAAAUACCUCCUCUUUAAUACGCCGUAAAAGUAAAUACCUCCUCUUUAAUACCCCACAGAAGUAAAUACCUCCUCUUUAAUACCCCACAGAGGUAAAUACCUCCUCUUUAAUACGCCGUAAAAGUAAAUACCUCCUCUUUAAUACCCCACAGAAGUAAAUACCUCCUCUUUAAUACCCC
ensembl:lncRNA